CUUCCUCCACUGUGUUCUCACCACCACCUCCCUUUCAUAGGCUGUAGCUGCUGUCCUGGAGGUGUUCUACAGGUGAAAAGCCCAGCAUCCUGGUCAGGAUUUAAGUUUUCCUCAAAAAUGGAGCAUAUUAACUGGGAUGACUACAGCCUUGAAGAUCUCUUUGAAGUGUUCCUGCUGAGCCUGCUGGGAAACUCCCUCGUGAUGCUGGUCAUCUUAUACAGCAGGGUCGGCCGCUCUGUCACCGAUGUCUACCUGCUGAACCUGGCCUUGGCCGACCUGCUCUUUGCCCUGACCUUGCCCAUCUGGGCUGCCUCCAAGGUGAAUGGCUGGAUUUUUGGCACACCCCUGUGCAAAGUGGUCUCACUCCUGAAGGAAGUCAACUUCUACAGUGGCAUCCUGCUACUGGCCUGCAUCAGCAUGGACCGUUACCUGGCCAUUGUCCAUGCCACACGCACACUGACCCAGAAGCGCUACUUGGUCAAGUUUAUAUGUCUCAGCAUCUGGGGUCUGUCCUUGAUCCUGUCGCUGCCUGUCUUGCUUUUCCGAAGGACCAUCUACCCGCCCUCUUUUAGCCCUGUCUGCUAUGAGGACAUGGGUAACAACACAGCAACAUGGCGGAUGGUGCUGCGGAUCCUGCCCCAGACCUUUGGCUUCAUUUUGCCACUGCUGGUCAUGCUGUUCUGCUACGGAUUCACCCUGCGCACACUGUUUAAGGCCCACAUGGGGCAGAAGCAGCGGGCCAUGCGUGUCAUCUUUGCUGUGGUCCUCAUCUUCCUGCUCUGCUGGCUGCCCUACCACCUGGUCCUGCUCACAGACACCCUCAUGAGGACCCAGAUGAUCAAGGAGACCUGUCAGCGCCGCAACGACAUCGACCGGGCCCUGGAUGCCACCGAGAUUCUGGGAUUCUUCCACAGCUGCCUCAACCCCCUCAUCUACGCCUUCAUUGGCCAGAAGUUUCGCCAUGGACUCCUCCGGAUCCUAGCCACGCAUGGCCUGAUCAGCAAGGACUCCCUGCCCAAGGACAGCCGGCCUUCCUUCGUUGGCUCAUCUUCAGGGCACACUUCCACUACUCUCUAAGGCCUCCUGCCUACGUGCUGCCCUGUGGGUCCUCCCUUCCCUUCAGAGUCACUUUCCAAGCCUCAUGUCCACUGGUUCUUCUGGUUUCA
rnacentral:lncRNA from 13 species